GACGAACGCUGGCGGCGUGCUUAACACAUGCAAGUCGAACGAAGUGGCGAACGGGUGAGUAACGCGUAAUCAACCUGCUCUUCAGAGGGGGACAACAGUUGGAAACGACUGCUAAUACCGAAUACUGAAGGAGGGGUUUGCGUCUGAUUAGCUAGUCGGGGGGGUAAUGGCCAACCAAGGCGAUGAUCAGUAGCCGGUCUUGGAGGAUGAACGGCCAACGUGGGACUGAGACACGGCCCAGACUCCUACGGGAGGCAGCAGUGGGGAAUCUUCCGCAAUGGACGAAAGUCUGACGGGGCAACGCCGCGGGAGUGAUGACGGCCUUCGGGUUGUAAAGCUUUGUUAAUCGGGACGCGGUACCGGAAUAGAAAGCCACGGCUAACUACGUGCCAGCAGCCGCGGUAAUAC
rnacentral:rRNA from 1 species